UGUGAAUACCCGCCGCUGAAAAGCCCAUCAUAAAACGAAUCUAUCAUCGUCAAAAGCUCUAAUCUGAGAACCCCAAUGAAAAUUAAGCAACGGAGAGCGAAGUCGUCUCCUGAUUCUCCUCCAUUCAUUACUAGUUGAACUUGGCUAUAACAUGCGUAGAUUGUUUGUUCAGGCAUGGCGGCAGAAGAUUAAGCGGCAAUUCAGACUGAUAAAAGCUUCGAGGAAGAGAAUUGACCGAAGAGUGAUAAAAUGAAAGUGUUGAAAGGAAGAAGAAAGAGAAAUGCUACACCGUUAUGGAGUGCAAACAUGAAUUCAAGUGAUAAAAAGACGGAAAAAUGAAUAAGAAAAAGGCCAAUUCUUACUAGAAGCAAACAAGAAAUCUGAUUCAACCACAGUGAUGUUAAUGGUGUAUUAGAAGAAUUGCAGUUAGGGAGUGAAAACACAAGGUUUUUGCCCACAAUUAAGGUUGUAUGAAUUUUACCUAUUCAUCAUAACAUAGACAUAGAAUUCAUCAGCUA